ACACCAAAUUAAAUUAGAAGACAAUCAUAUCGAGAGCACACUGCCACUGCAAGUAGGAAAGCUAGCGCAUCACAAUGGCGGCCAGAACCAGCGUGGUUGUGCUUUGCUUCGUUGUCGCCUCCGCCCUUCUCGUGGCCUCGUCAUUUGCUGCCCGUACUCCAACCUUUGAAUCGAGAAGGGAGACGAGGGAGACGGUUGCAGGACGAACCGUGAGGAAUAUGCCAGUGAUCAUCCACCACCCGGAGAUACCAAGCAACUCACGAGCCGCGGUGCCGGUGAAAGUGACCGUCGGCGUCGACCCAGUGACCGCCCACCUGCAUCCGCAGCAUCCUCAGCCUUACGUUCCGUCGCCGCCAUAAAGCCUGCAGCUGCUGCAGUUGUGCGCGCGAACGAACAGAGAUGAAUGAUCUAGUAUACAUGCAAGAAAUAAAUAAAGCGUGGACAUGGCAAUGUGCAUGCAGUAUAGUUCGCGUGUAUACAAGCUCAAUUAACUACAUUAACGCUGUAGAAGUGCUACGCAUAUAUACGUCCAAAUCAAAGCUGCUACACUGCUAGCUGCAACAAUAUAUGCGUACACGUACGUGUAGUAGUAACGUAUUCCCUCCGUUCUUUUUUAUUUGUCGUAUUUUAGUUUAAAAUAAACUAGCAUGCGAUAAGUAUUCGAGAAUAGAGUCAGUAUUAUAUAACUUUUUACACCA